GCGGCCUAUCAGCUUGUUGGGGAGGUAACGGCUCACCAAGGCUUCGACGGGUAGCUGGUCUGAGAGGAUGAUCAGCCACACUGGGACUGAGACACGGCCCAGACUCCUACGGGAGGCAGCAGUGGGGAAUCUUGCGCAAUGGGCGAAAGCCUGACGCAGCAACGCCGCGUGCGGGAUGAAGGCCUUCGGGUUGUAAACCGCUUUUAACAGGAACGAAAAAUGACGGUACCUGUAGAAUAAGGUGCGGCCAACUACGUGCCAGCAGCCGCGGUGACACGUAGGCACCAAGCGUUGUCCGGAUUUAUUGGGCGUAAAGAGCUCGUAGGCGGUUCAGUAAGUCGGGUGUGAAAACUCUGGGCUUAACCCAGAGACGCCACUCGAUACUACUGUGACUAGAGUUCGGUAGGGGAGACUGGAAUUCCU
rnacentral:rRNA from 1 species